AUUGGAUAUAUUCAUAUUUGGCCAAAAAAUUAAUCAAGAAACUGCACUUACAGUAUCUGCAACAUCAUCUAAUUCAUCAACUAUCAUCUCAUUUUUGAAAAGCAAUUUAAGGUAUGGAAGUACUUUAGGAAGCACAGGCAAAUCUGCUAUGUUAAUACUCAUCAUGUCAAAUGCAAUGCAGGUUUUGUGCAUGUGUGUCUC
rnacentral:misc_RNA from 1 species